CAGUUGACGAGGAUCUAACAUCACAAACCCCUCUUCGAUGAACAUCAAUCAACAAGAUCAAAGAUCACAAACCCUCCUCGCAGAUCGCAGCCUAUUCGUAGAUCACAUAUCACAAACUCAAACUCGGCGGAUUAUAAUCCAGAUUAGUAUUUAUGGGAAGAGGAUUUUACUCUUGCGGGCACAAAGUACAAAAGACAGGACCUUGAGGCAACUAAGGAAUCAAAGAGGCCACACCUUGCAAUGCAGUCAUUAUGUGGGUUCACCUUUCCCAGAGGACACUCCUCUACCUUGUGUUGUAUACUGCCAUGGAAACAGAAUGAUGAGCGGCGGCAGUGGUGGCGAAUGAGUUCAAUCUCAAAUCCAAGUCUACAAUCGAUAUUGAGUUCGCUAGCAAAAGAUUGAAUGUUGAUGGCAAAGUCAUCAAAGCUUGGAUUUUGAACACUGCUGCUGGCCAAGAAAGAAAUGUUGGUCACAAUCAACUUCAGGGCCAAGUGAAUGACAUGUUUGGUGAGCUUUCAUCCCUCUCCACAUUGUAAGUUUACCCUCCAUAACCUUUUUUCCUUGUGGAGUUCUCUCAAUUAUGCAUACCUUGACAUAGUUGAGGCGUUAUCAGCAGCAUUGUCUUUCAUUAUGAUGUACAAGACUAAAUGAUUAUAGUGUUUAGCCUUUUUUUCAAUUCUUAAACACUUUGGUAAUCAUUACUUUCCAUGCCACAGAUGAGAAGCUUUAUUUUGUGUUUUGUUUAUUUUUUUGGGGCACAAAUCAAUAUUGGUUGUUAUAGCAUUCUAAAGUAUGUACUUUAGAAAAUGUUACACGUUCUAACUAGCUCUUCAAAAGGUAAUGUGGGGUGGGGUGGGAGGGGGAAGUAAUUCAACCUCUGAAAACUUUUUGUUUUGGGCCUUUUGUAUUAUGUAGUUUCCAUGGAUUGAACUAAGCAUUACAGUUUUUUUGUCCAUCCUGGAUAUUGCCUGCUAAGAUUUGAUAGACGGCUCAUUGGGAUAGAUGUGGAUGAAUAAAUAAUACGCCCCAUAGACACAUGUAGGAAGUUUUCUCCCCAUGCCUUUCUUUGUUCAUGGUUCAAUGUUCUAGUGUCUAAGGAGCCAUUUUCAAUAUGUAGAAUAGUAAUGGGGUACCAUGAUUGUUUUUAUGUACACUAAGGGGCUAUAGGAUGUUAAAUUACUUAUUUCCCUGUUGAGGUACGUUCUAUGGUAAAGCCUUCAACUUAACUUAAAUGUAACAUUUUUGUUCAUAAACUUCGUGUACUCGGAAAUAAUUUGGUUGAACUAAAAAGACAUAGGAAGUAAUUAGAUGUUUUGAUAGGAGUUAUUUAGGUGAAGAAAGACAUGAUUAAUCGUGUUGAACCUAUAAUUGUGUGCUUUGAUUUGUUCAUUUGAGUUCUUGUUUGUAUAAGGGUGGCAACCCCUCUGAUGUUGUUUCUUUAAUCAAUUAUUAUUUAUCAAAGAAAAAAAAUUCAAUUUUUAUUUGAAGACAUAUUUCCACUUGCUUUUAGUACAUCUAUGAAGAACAGCACUGUGACGUUUCUGACUUCAACUCAAUAGUUAUGAACUGCACUAUGACGUUUGUGACUUUGGCUGAAGUUUUUAGAACUCCAAACUAAGGGUGGUUUGGGUAUGACUUAUUUAGUGACUUAUUGGCUGUUUACGAAAAUACAUGCACAAAAGUAGAGAAUUGAUGUGAUAACUUGUAGUAAAUAAGCCAAUAAGUAGCUUAUUUAGGUGGUACCCAAAAUAGUUGAGACUUCUUGGCUAUUGGAAAUUGGAAUAUGUAUCUAGUGUUGAGCUUCCCCUUGCACUGCUAUUUUGGGGGUCCUAUACUUAUUUUAGAUCUCUAAAUUCUUAUCGAUUUUGUUUUUUGGACAGACAUAUACAUAUGGCAGUGUAAUGAACUUUAGUUAGUAUUGGCAUAAUUGAAUGUUAACCAUAGCAUAACUUCUCUCCUUGUGUAGCAGGUUUUCUCUCCUCUGUUUCUUUCCAUUAUUUUCCCUUCAUUUCUCUUUUUUAUACUCUAUCUACUUACUCUUUGUUUCUUCUUCUCCCUCUCUGGUUCUUCUUUGUAUUUCUUCUCUGCUGCUUCUACUUCUAUUUCACUUUUCUAUUUCCCUUUCAUCCUUAUACAAGGUAACCUUUAUUGCCUAUCAAUUUAUUACAAGUUCUUUUUCUUUGUAUGUUUUUCCUUGUAGGUUGUUUUGUAUUAUUGCAUGAUGCUACUUUUUCAAUUUUAUCAAGGUUUCUUGUUAUUGAUGAUGUAGUUUCAGUUGAGCAUGGUCUAAAUAGCCAAUUUGUAGCCAUAACAUCUAAAUUCAAACUUGACCACCAAUUUAGUAUACUGGCCUAUUGCGUCCAAGGAAUUUUUUUUUUUCCUUCAUUGAAAUGGCUGAAAUGUUUUUGUUUCCUAAGAAACCAACUUGAAACAUGAGUGCAACUAUGAAAUUCUAACUUUUCCAUUGAAGCAUAACAAAACAUCUAAUUUAAAAAUAAAAAAA